GCGGGGGGUCAGGAUCCUCCACAGUUCCUGAUGAAUAUCUGUUAUCGCUGAAGUUUCUCUUUGGCUCAUCAGCCACCCAGGCCUUGGACCUAGUUGAUCGACAGUCCAUCACCUUAAUCUCAUCACCCAGUGGAAGGCGUGUUUACCAGGUCCUUGGAAGUUCCAGUAAAACAUACACAUGUUUGGCUUCUUGUCAUUACUGUUCAUGUCCUGCAUUUGCAUUCUCAGUGCUACGGAAGAGUGACAGCAUCCUGUGCAAGCAUCUCUUGGCAGUUUACCUGAGUCAGGUUAUGAGGACCUGUCAGCAGCUAAGUGUCUCUGACAAGCAGUUGACUGACAUAUUAUUGAUGGAGAAGAAACAAGAAGCAUAAAAGGACUGCAGGAGGUGCUGUGGGUUGGAGCCGUGGGCUGUGGAGGGUUUGUGUAUGAUGAGAAGCCCUGUACAGUCUUGUCAAGAAAUACCCUGAGCCAGUCUCUGAGACGCUUCGGUAAAAAAUGUCCCUGGAUGGAAUCAAGAUUUUAAAUUCAAAUAAAGCCUAAUAUCAUGUUGUGUCCACA
rnacentral:lncRNA from 1 species